GACAAACACGCUCUGGUGGCGCAUUUGGUUAAAGCACGCGCUCCCGGAAAGGGUGAAAUGCGGGUUUGAGUCCCGCUGACGUCA